rnacentral:rRNA from 1 species
CCUACGGGGGGCAGCAGUGGGGAAUAUUGCACAAUGGGCGCAAGCCUGAUGCAGCCAUGCCGCGUGUGUGAAGAAGGCCUUCGGGUUGUAAAGCACUUUCAGCGGGGGGGAAGGCGGUGAGGUUAAUAACCUCAUCGAUUGACGUUACCCGCAGAAGAAGCACCGGCUAACUCCGUGCCAGCAGCCGCGGUAAUACGGAGGGUGCAAGCGUUAAUCGGAAUUACUGGGCGUAAAGCGCACGCAGGCGGUCUGUCAAGUCGGAUGUGAAAUCCCCGGGCUCAACCUGGGAACUGCAUUCGAAACUGGCAGGCUAGAGUCUUGUAGAGGGGGGUAGAAUUCCAGGUGUAGCGGUGAAAUGCGUAGAGAUCUGGAGGAAUACCGGUGGCGAAGGCGGCCCCCUGGACAAAGACUGACGCUCAGGUGCGAAAGCGUGGGGAGCAAACAGGAUUAGAUACCCUAGUAGUC